GCGUCAGUUCCCUAACAUUAGAAGCACCAGAAGUCGUAUACGUUGCUCGUUGAACAUAGGCGAUGUUGUGUACUUUCGUAAACCUUUAAACGCAGUUUCUCCAGCGCAGGAGAGAGAAACUUUAUGGGGUUCCUCCUGAAAACACAGGCGAAGCAAGAACCAGAGUCCGGCUGACGAAAAUGUGCAAAGCAGACAAAAUAAACUCUGUUGUAUGCAGCAGAAAACAUGACUAUACAGUUGGCAGUACCAAGGGGCUCAAUUGGACUCUUGGCUGAUGGUGAAAAAAGGAAAGUAAGAGAGGAUAUGGUUUUUCAGCUUGAUUCCCUUACAGUUUCCCCAUUACUAGACAGUUUAGUUGUAUGGGGAACUAAUCUUCUAACUUUGUUUGGCCUUGUGUCGUGAUGGGGACUCUCCAGGUUCCUGUACAGUCUGUUGUGUGACCACUGUCCUAGAUAUGUUAAAUGUUGCAUGAUUAAAGUUAGCUUCUUACUUCUGUAGAGAAAACAUGGACAAAGGAUGAGUUGUCAGUUUGUCAGAAACUGUUUUGAUUUCAAGAAUAUUGAUAUUAAUAAAUUUUGAUCAGAGCAGCACUUAGAAGCUUGUGCAACAUA